CUUUUCUCCAGGAAGGAUAGCUUCAUAACUCACAGGGCAUUCUGUGACGCGUUAGCAGAAGAAAGUGCAAGACUCUCAGCUCACCAAUUAGUUACCACAAAUCCAACUGCCCAAACUCUUCUUCUGCAAAACCCACAAUCCCACAAUUCUCUCUUCCCUUUCACUACCCACCAUCAUCAUCAGCUCUCCCUCAACCCCUGGGACCCACCACCUCAUAACCCUAGCAACCCUACUCAAAACCCAGUUCAAAUCAAGCCUGAAACUCAACAUUUCCAGCUUGCACCAGUCUUCCGAGAACCGCCACCAUCGUUGCCAACCCACCAGGGUUUGAUAACCUCACCGUUCCAAAGCCUAUCAAACCCUGCCGUGUCGGCAUCAUCGAACCACC
rnacentral:misc_RNA from 1 species